GCUGUCAUCAGUCAGUCUGUACCUCAGCCUUCAGUGGAUCUACAGAAGAAGAGAGAAGCAAGGGAGGAGAGAGAAGAAGAAGCUAAGAGAAGAAAGUGGCGAGAAAAGGAAGAGCCACAGUGGAGGAAGCCACAGUGCAGGGCACACGCUAAGAGAGAAAGGCAAGAGAGAAGAGGAAAGUGAAAAGACGAGGGAGUUGCUCAAGUGUUGGGAGGCCAUCCAGCUGAGGGCAGGGAGAGACAGAAACGGACUGGGAGCGUAUACUGGGAGAGCAGACUGGUUUGUUUGUGUCCAGGCUGAGCGGACUGGGAGUCACCAUGGCCGACAACACCACAGAGGAGUCCGACUAUUACCCCGGGAAAGACGAGCUGGACUGGGGAUAUGAGGAAGGUGUAGAAUGGGGACUCCAUUUCCCAGCAGCCAACGGUGAGUACCAGUCUCCCAUCAACCUCAACUCCAGGGAGGCUCGGUACGACCCCUCCCUCCUGGACGUCGGCCUCACGCCAAACUACGUGGUGUGUCGAGACUGUGAGGUCAUCAACGAUGGACACACCGUCCGCAUCAUGCUCAAGUCCAAGUCAGUUGUUACUGGGGGUCCGUUGCCCAGCGACCAUGAGUAUGAGCUCCAUGAGGUGAGAUUCCACUGGGGUAAGGAGAACCAGAGGGGCUCCGAGCACACCGUCAACUUCAAGGCUUUCCCGAUGGAGCUCCACCUGAUCCACUGGAACAGCACUCUGUUCAACAGUCUCGAGGACGCUCUGGGCAAGAGGAAUGGAGUCCUCAUCAUUGCUCUCUUUGUACAGAUCGGCAAGGAGCAUCUGGGUCUGAAGGCCAUCACUGAGGUCCUACAGGAUCUGCAGUACAAGGGAAAGACCAAGAUAAUCCCCUGCUUCAACCCCAACACUCUGUUACCUGACCCCUUGCUGAGAGACUACUGGGUGUAUGAAGGAUCUUUGACCACACCACCUUGUAACGAGAAUGUGACCUGGAUCCUCUACCGCUACCCUCUCACCAUUUCACAGUUACAGAUUGAGGAGUUUCGGAGGCUGCGGUCCCAUACCAAAGGGGCAGAGCUGCCGGAAGGGAAUGAUGGGAUGUUGGGAGACAACUUCCGCCCCACUCAGCCACUCAGUGACCGGACGGUUCGUGCUGCUUUCCAGUGACUCCCACUUUCCACCACUAACCCACAAAAACGAUGGGCCAUAUAAAUACUUAUGUAAAAGGAGAAAAAUAAGAAGCAGCAAAGGAAGAGAGAGAGGGAGGAGGAGCAGAGAGAGAGAGAAUCAAAGUGUGUUGGCGUGAGUCCACAUCACCUGGACGGAGUCUGCAGGUGGACAAAGAAACCAUUGACCUCACACCCUCGUUGUGUGUGUGUGUGUGUGUGUGUGUGUGUGUUGCUUGCUGUGUGUUCUCUCUCUCUUGCUGUGUAUGUAUGUGCUUCUCCCCCGUCUCUCUCUUCCUGUAUGUGUGUGUGUGUGUGUGUGUUUGUGUGUAGGUUUGUCUCUAGUGUUCCUGUGCUGUGUGUGUCCUGAUUAGAUGACAGGAGGCUAUACAAGACACCGACUGCCCACCUGACCCACACACACACACACAUACAUUUAUAUAUACAUACACAUACAGAGACUGAGAGUGAUACUGAAAUACACCUACACACACACACUCUCUCUGUACAACUCAAACAUUCACACAUACACACACACACACACAAUAGGCUGUUCAGCAUGUGGAACCGAGUUUUGAAUGUCCUGCAGCACAGUAGCUCAACACAGGGAUUAUAGAAAAAGAGAACUGUGAUCAUCCAUAUUAACACGAAUAGCUCUAAUUUAUUGAAUGAUUGUGUUAUGAAUCAGUUUCAUCUGAUAAUAAAGGGUUUUUGCUGAAGGAAUGUCAAGAUCAUAUAAUUCUCAAGCUUCAUGGCGUAACAUCCGUCUGACACCAUUUUACAAGAAUUCUGUUUUCAUUCAUGUUCUUUGGAAGUUUUCAACAGUAUGAUAAGAUGAUAUGAUAGGCUUUGAUAUCUAAAACUGCACUGGAGACGAUGAAAUGGGAAAUGAAGCUGUUUGAUUGGCUUAAUAACAUCCCAUAUGUAAAUAUGUUAGUUGGACUACCAAACACACCAAGAAGAAGACUUUCAGUUUACCGGGUAAUGAAGUCCUUCAAACUCUAUUUUUUUUUUUUUUUUUUUUUUUUCGAAGAGUUAACUCUCCCUGCUUGGAGUGUGAAGAUGCCAGGUGUAGUUUUAAAUUCGUCAGAGGAGCAAAUGUCAGAAGUGAAGAGAGCAUAAGAAUCCACCCUUGGCUGAUGAUACCAUGUUACAUUAUCACAGAAAGCAGUGGGAAGAGGGAAAGUGCUCCAUGAAUGUCACAUCAAACUGAAUGAAAUCUUGGCCAUUUUCUGCCCAUGAUGCUCAGUUAGGGUGAGCUCCAUACACUCAGUACACACAUCACUGUUUUCAUUAACCCUUUGAAACCUGAGCAAAUCCCAGUUGAUUUCUUUCGAAAACCUUGGGAG